rnacentral:rRNA from 1 species
AAUUCCAAUCGAACCUGGAGAUAGCUGGUUCUCUCCGAAAUAGCUUUAGGGCUAGCCUCAAGUGAUGAUUAUUGGAGGUAGAGCACUGUUUGGACGAGGGGCCCCUCUCGGGUUACCGAAUUCAGACAAACUCCGAAUGCCAAUUAAUUUAACUUGGGAGUCAGAACAUGGGUGAUAAGGUCCGUGUUCGAAAGGGAAACAGCCCAGACCACCAGCUAAGGUCCCAAAAUAUAUGUUAAGUGGAAAAGGAUGUGGCGUUGCCCAGACAACUAGGAUGUUGGCUUAGAAGCAGCCAUCAUUUAAAGAGUGCGUAAUAGCUCACUAGUCGAGUGACACUGCGCCGAAAAUGUACCGGGGCUAAACAUAUUACCGAAGCUGUGGAUUGUCCUUUGGACAAUG